GCAUAACGCGAAGAACCUUACCUGGGUUUGACAUGCACAGGACGCCGGCAGAGAUGUCGGUUCCCUUGUGGCCUGUGUGCAGGUGGUGCAUGGCUGUCGUCAGCUCGUGUCGUGAGAUGUUGGGUUAAGUCCCGCAACGAGCGCAACCCUUGUCUCAUGUUGCCAGCACGUGAUGGUGGGGACUCGUGAGAGACUGCCGGGGUCAACUCGGAGGAAGGUGGGGAUGACGUCAAGUCAUCAUGCCCCUUAUGUCCAGGGCUUCACACAUGCUACAAUGGCCGGUACAAAGGGCUGCGAUGCCGUGAGGUGGAGCGAAUCCUUUCAAAGCCGGUCUCAGUUCGGAUCGGGGUCUGCAACUCGACCCCGUGAAGUCGGAGUCGCUAGUAAUCGCAGAUCAGCAACGUUGCGGUGAAUACGUUCCCGGGUCUUGUACACACCG
rnacentral:rRNA from 1 species